rnacentral:lncRNA from 1 species
CCUUUUCCCUUUGCUCCUGAAGGACCCGGACUCUGUGAUGAUUUCUCUUGCUCUUUCCCAAGUGUUGCAGAAGGACAGGGAAUCUCAGAGGCUAGGUCUCGUCCCACAAAAACUGAAGGACCCGUAAUCUGCGACACUGUUGCCUUCAGUUGAGCCAUCUCAUUGUCGACCUUGUCAAAACGCUCUUGUAUAUCCUUCUGCAGCAGCUCCUUAAAAGAAUUGAAAGAAGAGUUGAACAAACCUUCAAUGAAGGUCUUCAUAUCACCGGAGACAACACUGUUAUGUUCAGCCGCCCUUUUACAAAGAAGUUGUUUCUUUCGAGACUCGACACCAGGAUCAAUAAGCUUACGCUUGCCCCUUUUUGUAACAACACCCGGUUCCUCUUCAACAACAGUCGGUUCCUCCACAGGUGUUUCUGUGACAUUUUCAACUUCAACAUCCUCUUCUGCGUCAGAUAACUCUAUAUUUGGAGGCAGAGUCUCAACUUCCCAAGUGAAUUGCUUCCAGUCUUGUUUGGCACUGAUCAGAGCAACAAUGCGAUUGACUCUUUCGUCAUUCUUCUCAUCUUCCCUAAAGAACUCAGCAUUAUCAGUUGCAUCCAAGCUCCCAGUAGAUGAUAUAAACGGGAACAACUCUCCCUGGGAAUAAAAAACGAAACAGUAAGCUUCAGUUGUUCGAUUAUUGAACUCAACAUUAAUAUAAGAAAUAUAACUACCUUAUCAAAGUUGGACUCUAGGCUGGUGAUAUCUUGAUAUGAUACUUUUCCACUUCCUUUCCAAUUCCUACAUCUCACUUUCGUCACAUUGUUUUUGAUCUUUUUACCCACCAUAGAACCGAUGUCUGGGAUUGCCUCCAUAAUCCAUAUCUGAAACGCAUAUGAGAAUCCAUCCAACACAUAGCUGUUCUUCAGAUGCACAUCUUCCCUUGCCUUGAAUAUUGAUGCAAGCAGCUCAUCAUACGCGCGAAGACCCCAAGGAUACAUCCUCAUUUUCUCAAAAUCCAUCACCAAACGGAUGAACUCGUGAGGGAUAAACACUCUCAAAUCCUUAGCAAUGAGGAAUCCAUGUAUAAUACACAGAUACACUAGUCGCACCCUGUCCACAUACGUCCACUCCUUACAGACUUUAAGGAGCUCAUCCCUUAUAACCAACAAGUUGAUCUUCUUAUUUUCCUUCAGCACAGUGCUCCAGAACCCUUUAUCACUCUUCCAGUUAUUGAAGUCUACGUCGGGUUCUUCUUUGAACUUCAAUCCAGUCACAGCAUAAAACUCUUGCAUAGAAAACCUGAGAGGCCUCUUUGCAAAUAGAAACCACAAUUCGUGAAGCUUGGAAACCUUGAGCUGCUUGCAUAUGAAGCUGUGAAUAACCUUCCCUGAGUAAAUAAGCUUGUUCUCUACUAUUGCCAGAAUCGGACCAAAGACAGGGUCUUUCAAAACUUCUUGAUACUCAUCCCUGAGAACCACCUUCAGCGUCCCCAGAAUCGUGCGUCUACAGGUGUUGUUAAUCUUAUCAAUCUUGGUCUCAGCUCCUUCUUCAAUAAUGCGUUUUGGAAACUGGUAAUCCAUUCCUAUAAAACAUGAAACAGAAAACAUCAACUCAUUAGCCUUUUAAGUCCAUUACGAAUUCAAAACACAAAGCAAAGUCAAUACCAAACAAAAAAAGAGUUCAGAAUCGUAUAGAACAAGAACUACAAUGACCUCACAAUCAACUCAACCCACAAACGAAAAUCAAAACCAUAAACGCGAAUCGAUUUGUAUUUUUAAACAAUUCAACCUCUUUAUACUACAUACACGUAAACGAAAACGAAAAAAAAAACAGAAAGGGGAUUUCCAAACCCUAACCUUCAAUUCCUUGUAAUCGAUGGUUCAAAAGAGUACAGACGACAGAAGGAGGAGGACGGAGAGAUGUGACGACGCGUUCGUCGUCUCCGACGAACUUAAACGGACACAAUAGAGAGAGAGAGUCGACGGUGGAAUCGCCUCUGAGUUUUAGAAAAGGGGAGUCGGAGACAAAGAAAGUGAUGCGUCUUUUUUACUGAAUCCAGGAAUUUUUAACUUAUUACUUUUAACCUAUUUUAUUAAAAAGGACAAAACAGGUUUUUCAUUUUUUUUUGUUCUAAAGGGACAAAGAUUGAGUUUUUUAUUGUAAGGGGACAAAGAUAUGCUUCUUUUGUUCUAUAUCGGCAAAAUUCUCAAAAAAAAAUCACCACGAUCACUUUCUUUUACCAUAAACUGUAAUUAACUCAUCAAAAUAAUAAUUAAUGAAAACAUGAUAGCACUACCCUCGAACCAGCACUUAUAAAUAGAGGAUCGGUGCGAGUAACGUACAUUCAUCAUCAGCAUUACAAUCACAUUCAUAAUCGUUACCAUCCACAUCACAUAUAAACACACAAAAGAUGGCGAAUUUCUCCAGUGCUCUCAUUCUUUUGUUCGUGUUCAUCACAAGUAACAACAACAACAACACUCUCUGCUCUUGCUUUCUUCUCAGAUAGUUUUAUUUUGUUUUUGUUUUUAUUAUGUUGUAUUUAACAAUUUUAUUCGGAAACUGCAGGCGGCGUUGCUGUUUCCGCCACCGUCUUCACUUUACAGAACAGCUGUCCUUACACCGUCUGGCCCGGGAUCCUCUCCGGCAACAGUAACACCCUCGGCGACGGCGGGGAGCAAUAUAGGAUUCUCAAUUCGUUCAAUGCAAGUUAUGUUUCAGAGACUGUGUUUUUCCUUUUAUCUCGUUUUAUGCAAGUUAUGUUUCAGUAUUUUCAUGUUGAAUUUUAUGUUUAAUAGACUAUGCGUUUUCUUCUUCAGAUGAUGAUUGGAAGUUGUGUUUCAGUUUGUUCAUGUCAAAUGAUCCAAUAGGUUUUGCCAUUAGAAUUCAAUAGAAGUUUUAUUUUAAAAUGAAACAGAGAACCAUUACAUUAUCAAUCACGUUUGGACCAGAGACAUAAAAUAGUGAGAAUGGAUCCUAAACAACCUACAUCGAUCGAAUUCUUAUGUUUCAUAACUUCCUCCUCAACUGUCUUCUUCAUGGAACUUCUCAGAUCUUCAAUUUCCUCGCUAAUUCUCGUCUGAUGCUCAUCCAUCCUCUGAAUCUCAUCUAACAGAGCCUCGUCUACCCACUUAAAAAUAUGGUUUUCGUUCUUUCUCUGUUCGAAAACACAAAAACAAGUCAAUCUCACAUCUGUUUAUUCUUCGAUCAUAUUGAAUAAUGAUGAAUAAGUAAUUAAAGAUUUACCUGUAUACCAAUCUCGCAUCUGAAGAACCGUCUGUAUGGGUUCUCUUUGGUUUUUGAAACAUAUGUGACAAUCCCCUUCCCACACCAGCAUCUGGAAGGGAUUCCUUCACUGUGAUUCAUGUUCGACAUUCUUUGUUCAGAAGGAACGAGAAGUUUUUUUUUGAGAUGUAGGAGAAACAAACGAUGGAGUAUGUAGGGUUUCAGGCCAUUUGAUGGUCUUAUAUAAGAUUUUUUUAGGUCAAAAGUUCUUACACUCUGGUUUGAUUUUAGGGUAAACGUAAAACGUGUUUUGAGUAAUAAGAUUUCUCGUGAUUAUUAAGAAUUAUUUGUGAUUUAUAAGGUUUGUGUGGAUUCAUUGGGUUACCUUCGUUUGUCAUACUUUAGUAGCAUUUAGGGCAUAGAUAGGGGUUCAAAUGGUUUGUGAUUCUUUAGUGGCAUUUAGGGCAUCGAUAAGGUUUCAAAUAAAAUUUGUCUUGAUUAUUAGAUUUUUUUGUGAUUUAUAAGGUUUGUGUGGAUUCAUUGGGUUAUGCUCGAGGUUAGAAAUUGAUAUGAAUUUUUAGGGCAUAGAUAGGGGUUCAAAUGGUUUGUCACAACAGUAAAAUCAAGCAAUAGUCCGAUCUCGAGAUUAGAAAUUGAUAUGAAUUUUUAGGGCAUAGAUAGGGGUUCAAAUGGUUUGUCACAACAGUUAAAUCAAGCAACUAAAUAUUUCAAAUAAAGUAAAAACUAAAGAGUAACUACAAGAAUCAAAGUCAAGAGUCAAAUAAGAGAGCCAAUACCAAUCUAUUCCUUAACAAGUAAUAAACGAAAGCUACUUCAAUCAAGUUCCACUAGAGGAUUUGUGAUCAACUUCGGUGGAAUGUAUUGUGCCAUUCUCAAAAUAAGUUCAGGAUCAUUGGCAGCUUCCCAUAGGUCGUAAACAAUCUUUUGGCGCGCUUCUCGAAUGUUGCUGUCAUUCACCAGAGAGAAGUCCAAGCCUAGAAGAUGACAUUCAAUGUGCUUCAAGGCAUAUACUCCACAAUCACUGCUACUCUUGUUUAGUAAGUAGGGCAUUGGGGCGUAACUGACAGUAUACUGCUUGACCGUGAGUUGCUGCCGACUCUUUGAAGAGUGAACACAUUUGACAAUUCUAGGGAUGAGAAUGGCAAAUGGCUCUACUUCCUUGUUGUAUUUCAAUCCCUCACAGUCAAAGACCUCUAUCGACCGAGAAACAAAGUUGACACACAUAGAGAUCCAGUGUUUACCGACAUUAAGAGGCACAUACAUGCGUGUGACGUCAAGAUCCCACAUCAGUCCUGUUCGUCCGUGUGGUGGAAGUUCACCAAUGCCGUACCGGUGAAGCAAUUCUGAUACUUUGAAUUUCUUCUUGUCCUUCCGAAACUCUUCGAAAGAGGUCUUCAUUUGAUUACUGAACAUGCAGCUCAUGAAUGCUACUUUUGUUGGUUCCCAUCGUCGCAAAGUAGUCCUCUCAGUGAAUAAGUACAUCAUAGCAUCAAUUUCCUGAAAAUUUUAUAAUAGAUUGUAAGUCGUGUAAUGAAAAUAUUAAGGAACAAAUUUAGACUCACGUGAUUCAAAAGCCAUUCUGUAGGUCCCAUGACGCGUGCUGCUAACACACUUGUUAACAUAGAAGGUCCAAUUUUCAGUUCCCUGCAAUGCAAAAGUCAGUUCAAAAUGAUACAGUAUCUAACGUGUUGAGAAACAAUAUAAACUUACUUGGAAGUUGAGGACCACUCAAUUAUUUUGGCCCAUGCAUCCUCAGGGACAAACACUAGUGAGUGAUCAAUGUCAUGCACCCGGUCCUCAAGUAAUUCCUCAUCUUUCAGAGUUGGUGGUUUCCAAUUCGGAGGCUUAAAUGAAGACAGUGGAGUAAUCCAUUCUGCUGGUUCGUCGUCCUUGAUUUUUUGUGAGGGAUCAAAGCCUUUAACAUGUGAUGCUUGAGAAAGGUUUCCCACGGCGUCUUGUAAAGAUUCUUGCGUCCCCUUAUCUACAUAGUUCGAUGAUUGUGACAAAUUCUUCAAAAAAUCAAACAUGUCAUCGUCAUCAGUUUUAAAUUCCUGUAAAUAAAGCCAAGCAUAACAACAUUAAUAGCAAAUAGAGUCAACAUAGUGACAAAAUUACAUUACAAAAUAGCCAAGCCAACAUGUCAUAGUUAUCAGUUCACUUCAUAGCAAACAACAAGAUACAUUACAAGCCGAUAUGCAACAUAGCACAAUACAAGGAUAUUACAAAAUAGUCAAACCACAGAAACACUUACAACCGAAGAUGAUUCGUCCUACCUAAUUCAAAGCUUCAUGUUUUGGUUACCUUUCUUACUGGCCGAGGGCUACGACGAAGCGGAGGAGGAUCAACACUCACAGAUGCCUUGCCUUUGCCUUUUCCCUUUGCUCCUGAAGGACCCGGACUCUGUGAUGAUUUCUCUUGCUCUUUCCCAAGUGUUGCAGAAGGACAGGGAAUCUCAGAGGCUAGGUCUCGUCCCACAAAAACUGAAGGACCCGUAAUCUGCGACACUGUUGCCUUCAGUUGAGCCAUCUCAUUGUCGACCUUGUCAAAACGCUCUUGUAUAUCCUUCUGCAGCAGCUCCUUAAA